UAUUAUAUUUAUAAAUGGAAAGUUCUUUGUAGCAUUAUCCAUGACAAAGAAGCAAAAAUAUAGUAACAUCUUUUACCGAAAGUGAAAUUUUAUUUGAUAUUUCUGGCAAAACUCUUUCACAAGAUCAUACUCAAAAUUAUUUGCUUCUAUUUUAGGAAAGUGUAUGCAACUUUCAGGAAUCAAAGAGUUAGCAAAUCUAAAUUAUUGUGACUAUGAACUUCUAGAGCCAUGUGAUGGUAAGUAAACAUGCAGUUGAUGAAGUUGAACAUUAUUUGGCGCUCUGUCCCUCCAAUUUGCCUGGCUUUGAGAUGUCAAUGGUGGAUAAAAUCAUACAAGGUGGUCUACAUUUCAUAUCUAUUGGAUAAAGAUCCCCAUAUCCUUGCAGACUAGACACAGGAGUUGAGACCUUUACCAAGCUAAAAUAAAAAUAAAAGAUAAAUUAUAAGUACGUAGACCUUCAUAUACUACACAAUGCACAACUUGACAAAGCAUUUUUAUGUCUUAAAACUCAUAACUUGGACAAAAAAGAAUCAAGUGUUCUGGAAAAUUAUAUGAAAAUAAAUAAAAAAAUAAUCUACUCUUUUAAUAACUAUUGAUUUAUAACUCAAUGUCUAGAUAAUAAGUAGCAUAUGACCAUGUCCAUGUAGAAAAAAAUGUUAUUAUUUCAAAAGAAUUAUUAAAUAAUAUUUUACUUUGACAAA